rnacentral:rRNA from 1 species
GUCUCAUUUAAAAUUUAUAUAGAAUUUUAUUUUUUAGUUAAAAAGCUAAAAUAAUUUCAAAAGACGAGAAGACCCUAUAAAUCUUAAUUAUUUAGUAAUUUUUAAUUUAUUUUGGUUAAUUAUAUUAUUAAUAGUUAAAUAAUUUUAUUGGGGUGAUAUUAAAAUUUAAUAAACUUUUAAUUAUUUUAUACAUUUAUUUAUGAAUAAUUGAUCCAUUAAUAGUGAUUAAAAAAUUAAGUUACUUUAGGGAUAACAGCGUAAUUUUUUUGGAGAGUUCUUAUCGAUAAAAAAGUUUGCGACCUCGAUGUUGGAUUAAGAUUCAUAUUUAAAUGCAGAAGUUUAAAUAUAAAGUCUGUUCGACUUUUUAUUCUUACAUGAUCUGAGUUCAGACCGGCGUAAGCCAGGUUGGUUUCUAUCUUUGAUUUAUAUAAAAUAUUUUAGUACGAAAGGAAUUAAUAUUUAAUUUUUAAAAUUUAUUUUAUUAUGAAU